AGCGAACGUUAGCGGCGGGCCUAACACAUGCAAGUCGAGCGAGAAAGUGGCUUCGGCCAUCAGUAAAGCGGCGGACGGGUGAGUAACACGUAGGUAAUCUUCCCUUGAGCGGGGGACAACGAGCCGAAAGGCUCGCUAAUACCGCAUAAGUUUCCAGAGACUCUGGUCUUUGGAAAGGAAAGCUAGGCCGCAAGGUCCGGCACUCGAGGAGGAGCCUGCGUCGCAUCAGCAGUUGGUGGGGUAAGUGGCCUACCAAGGCGAAGACGCGUAGCUGGUCUGAGAGGAUGAUCAGCCACACUGGGACUGAGACACGGCCCAGACUCC
rnacentral:rRNA from 1 species